AGCGUACACGGUGGAUGCCCUGGCAGUCAGAGGCGAUGAAGGACGUGCUAAUCUGCGAAAAGCGCCGGCGAGGUGAUAUGAACCUUUGACCCGGCGAUGUCCGAAUGGGGAAACCCAGUGUGUUUCGACACACUAUCGUUAACUGAAUACAUAGGUUAACGAGGCGAACCGGGGGAACUGAAACAUCUAAGUACCCCGAGGAAAAGAAAUCAACCGAGAUUCCCCCAGUAGCGGCGAGCGAACGGGGAGCAGCCCGGAGUCUGAAUCAGCUUGUGUGUUAGUGGAACGGUCUGGAAAGUCCGACGGUACAGGGUGAUAGUCCCGUACACGAAAAUGCACAGGCUGUGAACUCGAAGAGUAGGGCGGGACACGUGGUAUCCUGUCUGAAUAUGGGGGGACCAUCCUCCAAGGCUAAAUACUCCUGACUGACCGAUAGUGAACCAGUACCGUGAGGGAAAGGCGAAAAGAACCCCGGCGAGGGGAGUGAAAAAGAACCUGAAACCGUGUACGUACAAGCAGUGGGAGCCUACUUGUUAGGUGACUGCGUACCUUUUGUAUAAUGGGUCAGCGACUUAUAUUCUGUAGCAAGGUUAACCGUAUAGGGGAGCCGAAGGGAAACCGAGUCUUAACUGGGCGUUAAGUUGCAGGGUAUAGACCCGAAACCCGGUGAUCUAGCCAUGGGCAGGUUGAAGGUUGGGUAACACUAACUGGAGGACCGAACCGACUAAUGUUGAAAAAUUAGCGGAUGACCUGUGGCUGGGGGUGAAAGGCCAAUCAAACCGGGAGAUAGCUGGUUCUCCCCGAAAGCUAUUUAGGUAGCGCCUCGUGAACUCAUCUUCGGGGGUAGAGCACUGUUUCGGCUAGGGGGCCAUCCCGGCUUACCAACCCGAUGCAAACUACGAAUACCGAAGAAUGUUAUCACGGGAGACACACGGCGGGUGCUAACGUCCGUCGUGAAGAGGGAAACAACCCAGACCGCCAGCUAAGGUCCCAAAGUCAUGGUUAAGUGGGAAACGAUGUGGGAAGGCACAGACAGCCAGGAUGUUGGCUUAGAAGCAGCCAUCAUUUAAAGAAAGCGUAAUAGCUCACUGGUCGAGUCGGCCUGCGCGGAAGAUGUAACGGGGCUAAACCAUGCACCGAAGCUGCGGCAGCGACACUAUGUGUUGUUGGGUAGGGGAGCGUUCUGUAAGCCGUUGAAGGUGGCCUGUGAGGGUUGCUGGAGGUAUCAGAAGUGCGAAUGCUGACAUAAGUAACGAUAAAGCGGGUGAAAAGCCCGCUCGCCGGAAGACCAAGGGUUCCUGUCCAACGUUAAUCGGGGCAGGGUGAGUCGACCCCUAAGGCGAGGCCGAAAGGCGUAGUCGAUGGGAAACAGGUUAAUAUUCCUGUACUUGGUGUUACUGCGAAGGGGGGACGGAGAAGGCUAUGUUAGCCGGGCGACGGUUGUCCCGGUUUAAGCAUGUAGGCGGAGGUUCCAGGUAAAUCCGGUACCUUAUUAACGCUGAGGUGUGAUGACGAGGCACUACGGUGCUGAAGUAACAAAUGCCCUGCUUCCAGGAAAAGCCUCUAAGCAUCAGGUAACACGAAAUCGUACCCCAAACCGACACAGGUGGUCAGGUAGAGAAUACCAAGGCGCUUGAGAGAACUCGGGUGAAGGAACUAGGCAAAAUGGUGCCGUAACUUCGGGAGAAGGCACGCUGAUAUGUAGGUGAAGCCCCUGCGGGUGGAGCUGAAAUCAGUCGAAGAUACCAGCUGGCUGCAACUGUUUAUUAAAAACACAGCACUGUGCAAACACGAAAGUGGACGUAUACGGUGUGACGCCUGCCCGGUGCCGGAAGGUUAAUUGAUGGGGUUAGCGGUAACGCGAAGCUCUUGAUCGAAGCCCCGGUAAACGGCGGCCGUAACUAUAACGGUCCUAAGGUAGCGAAAUUCCUUGUCGGGUAAGUUCCGACCUGCACGAAUGGCGUAAUGAUGGCCAGGCUGUCUCCACCCGAGACUCAGUGAAAUUGAACUCGCUGUGAAGAUGCAGUGUACCCGCGGCAAGACGGAAAGACCCCGUGAACCUUUACUAUAGCUUGACACUGAACACUGGUCCUUGAUGUGUAGGAUAGGUGGGAGGCUUUGAAGCGUGGACGCCAGUCUGCGUGGAGCCAACCUUGAAAUACCACCCUUUAAUGGCUGGUGUUCUAACGUAGACCCGUAAUCCGGGUUGCGGACAGUGUCUGGUGGGUAGUUUGACUGGGGCGGUCUCCUCCCAAAGAGUAACGGAGGAGCACGAAGGUUAGCUAAUCCUGGUCGGACAUCAGGAGGUUAGUGCAAUGGCAUAAGCUAGCUUGACUGCGAGAGUGACGGCUCGAGCAGGUGCGAAAGCAGGUCAUAGUGAUCCGGUGGUUCUGAAUGGAAGGGCCAUCGCUCAACGGAUAAAAGGUACUCCGGGGAUAACAGGCUGAUACCGCCCAAGAGUUCAUAUCGACGGCGGUGUUUGGCACCUCGAUGUCGGCUCAUCACAUCCUGGGGCUGAAGUAGGUCCCAAGGGUAUGGCUGUUCGCCAUUUAAAGUGGUACGCGAGCUGGGUUUAGAACGUCGUGAGACAGUUCGGUCCCUAUCUGCCGUGGGCGCUGGAGAAUUGAGGGGGGCUGCUCCUAGUACGAGAGGACCGGAGUGGACGCAUCACUGGUGUUCGGGUUGUCAUGCCAAUGGCACUGCCCGGUAGCUAAAUGCGGAAGAGAUAAGUGCUGAAAGCAUCUAAGCACGAAACUUGCCCCGAGAUGAGUUCU
rnacentral:rRNA from 1 species